GAUGAACGCUGGCGGCGUGCCUAAUACAUGCAAGUCGAGCGAACAGACGAGGAGCUUGCUCCUCUGACGUUAGCGGCGGACGGGUGAGUAACACGUGGAUAACCUACCUAUAAGACUGGGAUAACUUCGGGAAACCGGAGCUAAUACCGGAUAAUAUAUUGAACCGCAUGGUUCAAUAGUGAAAGACGGUUUUGCUGUCACUUAUAGAUGGCUCCGCCCCGCAUUAGCUAGUUGGUACGGUAACGGCUUACCAAGGCAACGAUGCUUAGACGACCUGAGAGCGACAUUGGCCAGCUUGUAACUGAGACUCGGCCCAGACACCGACGGUGGGACGCAGUAGGGAAUCUUACGCGAGGUAGGAAAGCCUGACGGAGCAACGUCGCGGGAGGGAUGAAGGUGUUCGGAUCGGAAAGCGAUGUUAUUAGGGAAGAACAAAUGUGUAAGUAACUAGGCACAUCUUGACGGUACCUAAUCAGAAAGCCACGGCUAACUACGUG
rnacentral:rRNA from 1 species